ACCAGCACUGCAGAGACUGCGGGCAGCUUCGCAGCCCAGCACUCAACCGCUGCACCACCGGGGAGGCCCUAUUUAUAUUGUCUUGAUGUGUAUCCCCACAGGACAAAUUAACUCAUCACAAAAAGAAAAAGCGACUUGACCCUGGAGGAACCUGGUUCUACCCUGACCAAAUGGCUGCAGUUGGCAUUACCAGCAAAGGGACAGGUUGGCAUCGUGCCUCCUGGUUCAGUGCCCCGGGAAGAGGCCAGUGUCACCUAUGGGGCUAUCAAGAGAAAAUAUCAGUCAGACCCAAAUUGAGGGAGACACUCUACAAAAUAACUGACCUGAAAGAGAAGAAAAGACAAAGGCAAAAUAAGACUGAGGAGCACUCUCAGUUUGGAGGAGGAUAAGGGGAGAGGAUAGUCCAGUGUUCGAUGGGACCCUUGAUUCAGUCUCACAUAGGAAUGUUUGUCCUUUCUUAUGAAAGACAUGAGUGAGACAAUGAGAAAAAUGAAUAAGUUCUAUGGAUUAGGUAAUAGAACUCUUCUCAUUGUUAACUUCUAUAUUUUGGUCAUUUGCAGCACUCAUGUAAGAGGCUGUCCUUGUUGCUAGGAAGCACACUAAGGCAUGUCUGUGUGAAAGGGAAACAAGCCAGAAGCAGAGGCCUCUUGUGGGAGCCCCUGCUCAGUCCCACCAGCAUCAGACCUACUGCCAGCCACCUCCUCUGCCAGGUCGGAAUGAAACAUGAUCGGGAUCAGCACCUUUUUGAAGACUUGGCUCACAGCACAGAUCAAAUUACUUCCCUGGCAUUUAAGAAGGUUUAAGGCUGAUGGAGUGUAAUUUUCACUGACACUUUCGUUUUCCAGAAUCAUAUGGUGUCUGAAAAAUUUGCAGUCAUGUCAAACCAUGAUAAUUAGUGCCAGGGAAAAAACGUGUUGGGGAAUGCAUGCAGACUGUCACCUCCACUGCAAACCUUGCAUGUGGAUGUUCUUUUAUUGACAUCGUCAUUCCAGCCAACAGAACUGAAUUCUGCUUCAGGAUAUAUACACGUGGCCUGUGUUAGUAUGGGUGGGACUGAAUUUAGAAGAGAAUUUGGCCUGGAGGAUGAAGGAGAAAGUGAUCAUUAACAUCACUGAAUAUUCAAGGAAGAAAACACACAAACAUGCCUUAAACACUUCGAUGUGUUUGUAUGUUUGUAUAGAUUUCAACCCAGCUCAAAGAAACUAAUGCGCUCCAUCUCAAUGUAAGCAUAUUCUUCUCACUGUUUAAAUUAUACCUCAUUCAUGUCUUGCAUAUUUUCAGCAUACAGAUUUGGGAUUCACUCUUAAGUCACACAUUAUCUUUAUCUCAUUAGCAAAAUUUCAUCUGUGAGCCAUACGUCUUUACCCCCUCAAAAAAACAAAUGAUUUCUUUUUUAUCAUAACUACUUAGAUUCUUGCCAAAGGUAUGAAAUAAUCAUUUGAGAUGCACAUCUUGAAGCUCAGCUCUCCAAUCAAGAUAACAAACUUGUUGGAAACCACACAGUAAGACCCAAACCCAGGAGUUUAGCAGUGUUUUCACACUUUGAAUGAUAACAAAAUUCUAAAAACUUAUUAGACAACAAACAAAAGACAUUUGUUUUCUUCAAAAGAAGGUCUUUUUGUGUCUUAACCUCUUAUUUUACCUUGAAAUAUUAGCCUUUUUCAAAAUGCAAAUAGUUACAAAGGGAAAGAUUGCGCUGUAAAAAAUAAAAGCUUAGUAAUUAAACCAGAUAAGUGAAAAUCUAAUGUUUAGGGCUGGAUAA